UCUUCUUCUUCUUCUUCUUGUUUUCUUGAGAAGAGGGAGAUGAAAAAUUGUUGAUAAGGGUUUAAUUUUUCGAUUUCUUUUUACAUUAGAAGGAGGAUAUGACAACGACCCAGAAUAGGCGUUCGUCAGUUUCGAGUGCGGUGGCGAAGAGACAAGCAAUGGUGGCGAAUUCAUCGGGGUUGGAGAAUAAUCAGGCCAGAAAAUUGAAUGCUGGAGCGGCCAUGAAACGACCGGAAAUUUAUAAUAUCUUGGAUUCGUACAACUGUAUCUGCUCGUAACGUGAUUUCUCAUUCCUCCAAACUUGUACAUGCUCCCAAAAUUAUAGGUGGGAAAAAUGCACCGUCUCCAGUUGGGGAACUUGGAAUGGUAGAGAUGACCCAGGCUCUGGAACUAAUUGAUGUUUGCUAUGAGAAGGCUAUUAAUGGUGGCAAAUGCAGGAGACUGCCGAGCAGUACUUUGCCGUAAUGUCAAUUGACAUGUCUCAAGACCAGACUAAAUUAUCCAUCAGAGAGGAGGCGUGUUGAAGGUGGAUUUAUUGAUGAUGGCUAUCUUAAUGUAUACUAUCAGCCCACCUUGGGGGACUGGGACAUGAAGCUGCCUCGUGGCUCUGCCUCUCCUCUGAUUGCAGAGCCAGAAUUUCGACAGAUAGUUCUGACAGAGGAUGAUGAAUUCCUUAUUAGCUUGAAUCUGGGAUGUCUUGUCUAGUCAACAAGCAGUUAGUUUAGUGCGUCGAGGGAUAAAGACGGCAUGAUGAUCCUGAACUGUGUGCCAAGGACCUUGUCAUGGAGGCCUUGCGGCUCAAUACAUUUGACAAUCUCACUUGUAUGCUUUACUUCCCCUGAUCAUCAAGAGUUAUCACCAAUGCGUCAAAGGAGAUUAAGGAGCUGCAGCUUCUCUGCAGAAGCCUUGUAUAGCUUGCAGAGCUGGUUAGACAACAAAGGGAGCCAUUGAUGGCGGUGCAAGCUGUUUGCAGAUGCCUCAUUUGGGCAGAAUGAAGAGCAGCUAUAGUUUUGGUAGUAAGAUCUUUUUUUCCUGCUUUGGUAUUUGGGUGGAUGUAUGUUACAUACCAUUCGUUGGUGAGUUGGGAGCUACACUGACUUUUAGUUUAUUAUGGCUGUUAGCGUAUGGCCGUUUUUUAUGUAACUCAUUCUAUUAGUUGUACAUAAUGAACACUUGUAGUUUUUGCUCCGUAUAAUAACUAGAUUGCAACAAGUCUACUCCUUA